rnacentral:lncRNA from 1 species
UAUGAACUGGGCCUAACAACUAAACUAAGCUCUCUGGUAGCACCGUUAGGCCCUCGGCGACUGAACCGUCGUAGCGAGCCGUUCCUUGCGGCUAGGUGCCAAUGAUUCUCCUCCCCACCGUAUGAGGAAACUGCUGAUCCGGCGGCGGAGUUAAACUCGCCGGAAGAUGUAUUCGGAGAAUAACUGAACACAGAGGACCGGAGCCGUGGGCCAUGCAAACCGUUGGUACUAUUCCAUUACUACACAGCCUACAGGAGCUACUCAUAUAAAGCAUUAAACUUUGGCAAAAAAGAGGCUCAAAAACAAAGCAAGCAGGAGACCAGUCGUUGGUCCAAAAAACAAAAAUACCCAUUUGCUGAUUUUGAGUUCCCCUCCCUUUGCUUUUUCAGCAUUCUCGAGAUCUUUGAUGUGGUCGGAGGGAUCCAAAAGAAGUUUAAAGCAAAGUAAAACAAAGCAAACUUGAGGUUAUUAUUGGAUUAUAGCUGAUGGUGAUAUUCCCUCGGUGGAUAAAGGUCCAAUACACAAUCAUUAAAACAACUGGCUGAUGAGUGAUGAGCGAUGACAAUAGCAAAUGAAUUAGGGAUGUUGCAAUGGACUGAGUUGUUUUGACCCAAUUUUGGUUUAGGGGUCCAAUUUUGUCCUGAUUUGAAGGUUUAGGCUUUGGACCGGCUUGUGGUUGACCACUCUAAAAUGAAUAGGCAGAUGUGUCCAUGGUCUGCGUCGGUGGGGGUUUAGGCUUUAGCCUCAUGCGGACUAAAAUGGACCUAGUUGGAGAAAAUAGAAAUUGGUGUGUGGGUUCUCUUGCCAUCACAAGAUUCACAAUUCCUUGUUUCUAGCAUAUUGAUGUCCAACUUAUGAAAUACUGUAGUUGGUGUCAGAUUCUGUUUUCUAUUUAUGAGAAUUACAAUUGUGCAUUCUUGAUUAAUCAACCCAUUUUGACAUUCUGGGAAAAACGGGCCUGUAUAUUGAUGGGCUUGAAUAUGAUUAUUUUUCUUCCUCG